AUCCUUUUAGUAUAAAAGUAUAUUUAACUUCCAAUUAAAAGGUUCAUAAAUUUGAAAAGGAUA
rnacentral:tRNA from 1 species